UUUUUCACCUCUUGCUUUUCCCCCUGUGCCCCCUCUGUCCCCUCUCCCUGUGCUGGGUCCGAGCUGGCGGCCGGGCCGGGCGGAGCAGCAGUUCCAGCCCCGGGUGUCCCUGGAGCGGUGGGAGCUGCCGGUGGCCCCAGGCACUGUCCCCUGAGGAGCUGCUGCAGGACGCUGCAGUGAAGACCUAGAGGACAGCCGGAGACUGACGGGAGCCAGCAGGGAGAAGCUGAAGGCCAGCAGCAAGAGCAGGGAACGGGGACCUGCUGCUGCCACGCUGGAGAGAGCCCGGCUGUGCCAUCUGCUGUCCCUGUCCAGGAGAGCUGCUCUGCACAGGAAGAAGAGACCGAGGGAGAGGCUUUAAAGAUGGGGCAGCUGAGAUCCCUCUGCUUGCAGUUC